rnacentral:tRNA from 1 species
GCUCGGGUGGUGGAAUUGGCAGACACGCAUGCUUGAGGGGCAUGUGCCGAAAGGCGUGCAGGUUCGACUCCUGUCCCGAGCACCA